rnacentral:rRNA from 1 species
UACAAAGGGGGCUAGCGUUGCUCGGAAUCACUGGGCGUAAAGCGCACGUAGGCGGACUCUUAAGUCGGUGGUGAAAUCCUGGAGCUCAACUCCAGAACUGCCUUCGAUACUGGGAGUCUUGAGUCCGGGAGAGGUGAGUGGAACUGCGAGUGUAGAGGUGAAAUUCGUAGAUAUUCGCAAGAACACCAGUGGCGAAGGCGGCUCACUGGCCCGGUACUGACGCUGAGGUGCGAAAGCGUGGGGAGCAAACAGG